rnacentral:rRNA from 1 species
UACGUAGGGGGCGAGCGUUGUCCGGAAUCACUGGGCGUAAAGGGCGCGUAGGCGGCUUGAUAAGCGUGCGGUGAAAGCCCGGGGCUCAACCCCGGGUCGGCCGUGCGAACUGUCGAGCUGGAGCACUGUAGAGGCAGGUGGAAUUCCUGGUGUAGCGGUGAAAUGCGCAGAUAUCAGGAGGAACACCGGUGGCGAAGGCGGGUCUCUGGGCCGAUACUGACGCUGAGGAGCGAAAGCGUGGGGAGCGAACAGG